GGCCUUUUAGUAGUGGUAGCAAGGAGGUUGUCGAUUCGACAUACCUCUUGGCGGGGUUCGAAUCCUUGAAAGGCCU